UGGAGGGCAAGUCUGGUGCCAGCAGCCGCGGUAAUUCCAGCUCCAAUAGCGUAUAUUAAAGUUGUUGCAGUUAAAAAGCUCGUAGUUGAAUUUCGGGGUUCAUACGUUGGUCGGGCUUUUUUGGUCUGUACUUAUGUAAUGGAUUCCUACCUUCUGAAUAACCGGCAUGUCAUUAAUUUGGUGCGCCGGGGAAGCAGGACUGUUACCUUGAAAAAAUUAGAGUGCUUAAAGCAGGCUAUCGCCUGAAUACAUUAGCAUGGAAUAAUGAAAUAGGACGGCAUGGUUCUAUUUUGUUGGUUUCUAGGAUCACCGUAAUGAUUAAUAGGGAUAGUUGGGGGCAUUAGUAUUCAAUUGUCAGAGGUGAAAUUCUUGGAUUUAUUGAAGACUAACUUCUGCGAAAGCAUUUGCCAAGGAUGUUUUCAUUAAUCAAGAACGAAAGUUAGGGGAUCGAAGACGAUCAGAUACCGUCGUAGUCUUAACCAUAAACUAUGCCGACUAGGGAUCGGACGAUGUUAAUUUUUUAAUGACUCGUUCGGCGCCUUACGGGAAAC
rnacentral:rRNA from 1 species